GCCUCUAUAGCUCAGUUGGUAGAGCGCGGCACUAGUACACCCCGUACACAGCUAUGCCGAGGUCUACGGUUCGACUCCGUAUGGAGGCA